GUAAUUGUUGCGGUCUAUGAUUUUGUUUGUUGUCUAUGAUUAUCGUUCGUUCAAUGGUGGCGCUGUUUGGAAAAUUUGAAAACAACACGAUUGGCAAUUUAUUUGGAUUUCGAAGAUCCUGGACUUGGUUGAAAGUUAGAGUAUUGCAGCUGUAGCCUGUAUACCAUACAUUCAACAUGGAAAGGACUGUCAGGAUGCUGCAUAAAAUGGUCUUAGCUAGAGCCUAG